AUUGAACGCUGGCGGCAUGCCUUACACAUGCAAGUCGAACGGUAACGGGCCUUCGGGUGCCGACGAGUGUCGAACGGGUGCGUAAUACAUCGGAACGUGCCCGAUCGUGGGGGGUAACGAGGCGAAAGCUUUGCUAAUACCGCAUACGAUCUACGGAUGAAAGCAGGGGACCGCAAGGCCUUGCGCGGACGGAGCGGCCGCUGGCAGAUUAGGUAGUUGGUGGGAUAAAAGCUUACCAAGCCGACGAUCUGUAGCUGGUCUGAGAGGAUGAUCAGCCACACUGGGACUGAGACACGGCCCAGACUCCUACGGGAGGCAGCAGUGGGGAAUUUUGGACAAUGGGCGCAAGCCUGAUCCAGCCAUGCCGCGUGCAGGAUGAAGGCCUUCGGGUUGUAAACUGCUUUUGUACGGAACGAAAAGCCUUCUUUUAAUACAGGAGGGUCAUGACGGUACCGUAAGAAUAAGCACCGGCUAACUACGUG
rnacentral:rRNA from 1 species